UACGUAGGGGGCAAGCGUUGUCCGGAUUUAUUGGGCGUAAAGAGCGUGUAGGCGGCUUUACAGGUCCGUUGUGAAAACUCGAGGCUCAACCUCGAGACGCCGGUGGAAACCGUAAAGCUAGAGUCCGGAAGAGGAGAGUGGAAUUCCUGGUGUAGCGGUGAAAUGCGCAGAUAUCGGGAGGAACACCAAUGGCGAAGGCAGCUCGCUGGGACGGUACUGACGCUGAGACGCGAAAGCGUGGGGAGCAAACAGG
rnacentral:rRNA from 1 species